rnacentral:rRNA from 1 species
GACGAACGCUGGCGGCGUGCUUUAGACAUGCAAGUCGAACGAGAUCUUCGGAUCUAGUGGCGAACGGGCGGAGUAAUACAUAAAACAACGUGCCCUGAAGACUGGGAUAUACGGUCGAAAGGCCGAGCAAUACCGGAUGUGGCCGAGACUAGGCAUCUAGACUCGAUUAAAUGGUUUUCGCUUCAGGAGCGGUUUAUGACUCAUCAGCUAGUUGGUAGGGUAAUGGCCUACCAAGGCUACGACGGGUAGGGGGUCUGAGAGGAUGAUCCCCCGAGUGGGACUGAGACACGGCCCACACACCUACGGGUGCAGCAGUUUGGAAUCUUGCCCAAUGGGGGAAACCCUGAGGCAGCGACGCCGCGUGGAGGAUGAAGGAUUUAGGCUGUAAACUCCUUUUGCCAGGAAAGACUUAGGACGGUACCUGGCGAAUAAGCUCCGGCUAACUACGUGCCAGCAGCCGCGGUAAU